UUCCGGUUGAUCCUGCCGGACCCCACUGCUAUCGGGGUGGGACUAAAACAUGCAAGUCGAGCGCCUCCAAGCUAUGGUGAAGGCGCGGCAAACGGCUCAGUAACACGUGGCCAACCUACCCUUGGGACGGAGACAACCCCGGGAAACUGGGGCUAAUCCCCGAUAAGUAAGGAAUCCUGGAAUGGAUCUUUGCUGAAAGGGCGUCUAGACCAUGCUUCUUGACGUCGCCCAAGGAUGGAGCCGCGACCGAUCAGGUAGUUGGCGAGGCAACGGCUCACCAAGCCUAUAACCGGUACGGGCCGUGAGAGCGGGAGCCCGGAGAUGGGCACUGAGACAAGGGCCCAGGCCCUACGGGGCGCAGCAGUUGCGAAAACUCCGCAAUGCGCGAAAGCGUGACGGGGCUACCCCGAGUGCCGCCCGUUGAGGGCGGCUUUUCCAUGGUGUAAGGAGCCGUGGGAAUAAGGAGAGGGCAAGACUGGUGUCAGCCGCCGCGGUAAUACCAGCUCUCCGAGUGGUGGGGACGAUUAUUGGGCUUAAAGCGUUCGUAGCCGGCUUAACAAGUCUUCCGUUAAAUCCAACGAUCUAAUCGUUGGGCUGCGGGAGAUACUGUUGGGCUAGGAGGCGGGAGAAGCCGACGGUAUUCUCGGGGUAGGGGUGAAAUCCUAUAAUCCCGGGAGGACCACCAGUGGCGAAGGCUGUCGGCUAGAACGUGCUCGACGGUGAGGGAUGAAAGCUGGGGGAGCGAACCGGAUUAGAUACCCGGGUAGUCCCAGCUGUAAACGAUGCGGGCUAGGUGUUGGGGUGGCCACGAGCCACUUCAGUGCCGCAUGGAAGCAAUUAAGCCCGCCGCCUGGGGAGUACGGCCGCAAGGCUGAACUUAAAGGAAUUGGCGGGGGAGCACCACAAGCGUGAAGCUUGCGUUUAAUGACUCAACGC
rnacentral:rRNA from 1 species